UACGUAGGGGGCAAGCGUUGUCCGGAAUUAUUGGGCGUAAAGCGCGCGCAGGCGGUUCUUUAAGUCUGGUGUCUAAGUGCGGGGCUCAACCCCGUGAUGCACUGGAAACUGGGGAACUUGAGUGCAGAAGAGGAGAGCGGAAUUCCACGUGUAGCGGUGAAAUGCGCAGAUAUCAGGAGGAACACCAAUGGCGAAGGCAGCUCGCUGGGACGUGACUGACGCUGAGACGCGAAAGCGUGGGGAGCAAACAGG
rnacentral:rRNA from 1 species